rnacentral:rRNA from 1 species
AGACUGCGAGUGCUAAGAUCCGUAGUCGAAAGGGAAACAGCCCAGACCACCAGCUAAGGUCCCAAAAUAAUUGUUAAGUGGAAAAGGAUGUGGGGUUGCACAGACAACUAGGAUGUUAGCUUAGAAGCAGCUAUUCAUUCAAAGAGUGCGUAAUAGCUCACUAGUCGAGUGACCCUGCGCCGAAAAUGUACCGGGGCUAAAACAAUUUACCGAAGCUGUGGAUACCUUUAUAGGUAUGGUAGGAGAGCGUUCUAUGUGUGGAGAAGGUAUACCGUGAGGAGUGCUGGAACGCAUAGAAGUGAGAAUGCCGGUAUGAGUAGCGAAAGACAGGUGAGAAUCCUGUCCACCGUAAGACUAAGGUUUCCAGGGGAAGGCUCGUCCGCCCUGGGUUAGUCGGGACCUAAGGAGAGACCGAAAGGUGUAUCCGAUGGACAACAGGUUGAUAUUCCUGUACUAGAGUAUGUAGUGAUGGAGGGACGCAGUAGGCUAACUAAAGCAGACGAUUGGAAGUGUCUGUCUAAGCAGUGAGGUGUGAUAUGAGUCAAAUGCUUAUAUCUGUAACAUUGAGCUGUGAUGGGGAGCGAAGUUUAGUAGCGAAGUUAGUGACGUCACACUGCCAAGAAAAGCUUCUAGCGUUUAAACAUACUCUACCCGUACCGCAAACCGACACAGGUAGUCGAGGCGAGUAGCCUCAGGUGAGCGAGAGAACUCUCGUUAAGGAACUCGGCAAAAUGACCCCGUAACUUCGGGAGAAGGGGUGCUGACUUUAAGUCAGCCGCAGUGAAUAGGCCCAAGCAACUGUUUAUCAAAAACACAGCUCUCUGCUAAAUCGUAAGAUGAUGUAUAGGGGGUGACGCCUGCCCGGUGCUGGAAGGUUAAGAGGAGUGCUUAGCGUAAGCGAAGGUAUGAAUUGAAGCCCCAGUAAACGGCGGCCGUAACUAUAACGGUCCUAAGGUAGCGAAAUUCCUUGUCGGGUAAGUUCCGACCCGCACGAAAGGCGUAAUGAUUUGGGCACUGUCUCAACGAGAGACUCGGUGAAAUUUUAGUACCUGUGAAGAUGCAGGUUACCCGCGACAGGACGGAAAGACCCCAUGGAGCUUUACUGCAGUUUGAUAUUGAGUGUCUGUACCACAUGUACAGGAUAGGUAGGAGUCUAUGAGAUCGGGACGCCAGUUUCGAAGGAGACG